rnacentral:lncRNA from 1 species
GAGGCAGUAUGCUCAUGUCCCUUCGGAUACCAAUUACUCUUGGAUAAGAAAACAUGUGUGUCAGAUUCUUGUUAUAAAAAAAACUGCUCUUAUUCAAAAUAUUGCGAUGAGGCAAAUGGUAAUGCAGUGUGCUACUGUCCAAGUGGAUAUGAUUUACAAAAAGAUAAUCGAACAUGUUUAAAAGAUCCAUGUUAUUAUAAAGGCUGCUACUCUAAAUAUUAUUGCAGUAUAGUUGCAGGUGAUGCAGUAUGCUCAUGUCCCUUCGGAUACCAAUUAAUCUUGGAUAAUAAAACAUGUG